UACGGAGGGUGCAAGCGUUAUCCGGAUUCACUGGGUUUAAAGGGUGCGUAGGAGGGCAGGUAAGUCAGUGGUGAAAUCUCCGGGCUUAACUCGGAAACUGCCGUUGAUACUAUCUGUCUUGAAUGCCGUGGAGAUGAGCGGAAUAUGUCAUGUAGCGGUGAAAUGCUUAGAUAUGACAUAGAACACCAAUUGCGAAGGCAGCUCGUUACACGAACAUUGACUCUGAGGCUCGAAAGCGUGGGGAUCAAACAGG
rnacentral:rRNA from 1 species